CUACGGGGGGCUGCAGUGGGGAAUAUUGGACAAUGGGGGAAACCCUGAUCCAGCGACGCCGCGUGAGUGAAGAAGUAUUUCGGUAUGUAAAGCUCUAUCAGCAGGGAAGAAAAUGACGGUACCUGACUAAGAAGCCCCGGCUAACUACGUGCCAGCAGCCGCGGUAAUACGUAGGGGGCAAGCGUUAUCCGGAUUUACUGGGUGUAAAGGGAGCGUAGACGGUAAGGCAAGUCUGAAGUGAAAUCCCGGGGCUCAACCCCGGAACUGCUUUGGAAACUGUCAGACUAGAGUGCAGGAGGGGUAAGUGGAAUUCCUAGUGUAGCGGUGAAAUGCGUAGAUAUUAGGAGGAACACCGGUGGCGAAGGCGGCUUACUGGACUGUAACUGACGUUGAGGCUCGAAGGCGUGGGGAGCAAACAGGAUUAGAUACCCCCGUAGUC
rnacentral:rRNA from 1 species